rnacentral:rRNA from 1 species
UACGUAGGGACCAAGCGUUGUUCGGAUUUACUGGGCGUAAAGGGCGCGUAGGCGGCAAUUCAAAUCAGCUGUGAAAUCUCCGGGCUUAACUCGGAACGGUCAGCUGAUACUGCUUUGCUAGAGUGCAGAAGGGGCAAUCGGAAUUCUUGGUGUAGCGGUGAAAUGCGUAGAUAUCAAGAGGAACACCUGAGGUGAAGACGGGUUGCUGGGCUGACACUGACGCUGAGGCGCGAAAGCUAGGGUAGCAAACGGG